GUGGGGAAUAUUGGACAAUGGGCGAAAGCCUGAUCCAGCCAUGCCGCGUGAGUGAUGAAGGCCUUAGGGUUGUAAAGCUCUUUUACCCGGGAAGAUAAUGACUGUACCGGGAGAAUAAGCCCCGGCUAACUCCGUGCCAGCAGCCGCGGUAAUACGGAGGGGGCUAGCGUUGUUCGGAAUUACUGGGCGUAAAGCGCACGUAGGCGGUUUUGUAAGUUAGAGGUGAAAGCCUAGGGCUCAACCCCAGAAUUGCCUUUAAGACUGCAUCACUUGAACGUCGGAGAGGUGAGUGGAAUUCCGAGUGUAGAGGUGAAAUUCGUAGAUAUUCGGAAGAACACCAGUGGCGAAGGCGGCUCACUGGACGACUGUUGACGCUGAGGUGCGAAAGCGUGGGGAGCAAACAGGAUUAGAUACCCCGGUAGUCC
rnacentral:rRNA from 1 species